rnacentral:rRNA from 1 species
CACGUAGGGCGCAAGCGUUGUCCGGAAUUAUUGGGCGUAAAGAGCUCGUAGGCGGACUGUCACGUCUGCUGUGAAAAGCUGGGGCUUAACCCUGGCCUUGCAGUGGAUACGGGCAGACUAGAGGUAGGUAGGGGAGAAUGGAAUUCCCGGUGUAGCGGUGAAAUGCGCAGAUAUCGGGAGGAACACCGGUGGCGAAGGCGGUUCUCUGGGCCUUACCUGACGCUGAGGAGCGAAAAGCGUGGGGAGCGAACAGG